AUUGAACGCUGGCGGAAUGCUUUACACAUGCAAGUCGAGCGGCAGCGCGGGGGGCAACCCUGGCGGCGAGCGGCGAACGGGUGAGUAAUACAUCGGAACGUGUCCUUAAGUGGGGGGUAGCUCGGCGAAAGCCGGAUUAAUACCGCAUAAGCUCUGAGGAGGAAAGCGGGGGCUCCGUAAGGACCUCGCGCUGUUGGAGCGGCCGAUGUCGGAUUAGCUAGUUGGUGGGGUAAAGGCCCACCAAGGCGACGAUCCGUAGCUGGUCUGAGAGGAUGAUCAGCCACACUGGAACUGAGACACGGUCCAGACUCCUACGGGAGGCAGCAGUGGGGAAUUUUGGACAAUGGGGGCAACCCUGAUCCAGCCAUUCCGCGUGAGUGAAGAAGGCCUUGG
rnacentral:rRNA from 1 species